ensembl:lncRNA
GGGUUACUUACUCGGUUCCUGCGGCUCCGGCGGUCGGCGAGCUCGGAGCUCGGGCGCCGCGGGGUAGCCCGGCCUCGGGCUCCUGGCGCUGCGGCGGCGGGCGAGGGCGGUUCAGUGGUGGGCUCCUAUGAUGGCCUUCCGAAAUGAGGGGUGCUCAGAGAGAAAACAAUACCAAACAGUCUCGAAAUAAAUCAGGAGGGACCAUCUUUGCAAAAAGGCUGUACUCAAAACAUGUUUGUUAAUGAUCUUGGGAUCCAAGAUUUGCGAAGGUAAGACAACAUCUGAUUCAGUAGCUUGGGAGAGAGAUCUCUAUUUGAAUCAGUGGCUCCUGGGAGCUGUGCCGAGUCUAAGUCCGGAUUACUCUGAGUAUUCUGGCCGUCGUUUCCUGCCCAUCUCCCUUCGUUCUUGGCUUCAUACAUUAAUGCAUUGGGAAACUCCAUUCUUGCUGGCUCCCCUGUGGGCUGGUUUUCAAAAUGAGCUGCCUCUUCAAGAGGAGCUUUGUAGAUCUGGCUAAGGACCCUGCUCUCAGCCGAGAGCUGUUAAGCCUUCUUGAAUCUAUUUUCUCUAAAGUAGCUCUCUGCUGCCCUCCACUGGCAUUCAGGCUCUAGAGCUAGCUAGCUCUGCAUCUGCCAGCGGAUUCACCGCAUCUAGGGCUCCAAGUGAGAUGUGGGAGCCUUAUUAACCACACUAUGUAUAGGUUUUUUAUAGCAUGAAAAAUAGAACUCAGGUCCCUUUGUAUCCACUUAUACUUCGUGGUCUCACUUAUUUCCUAUAAGUUUGCUGGUGGGCAGUGGUCAAGUGUAUCUGACUUUAUCUUCAAGUAUUUGAAAGUAUUACUUGCAAGUAUAGAAUUUCACUUUAAUUAUAAAGUUGAAAUGUACUUCAGCUGACAUGAUACUAGACCACAAAUUUCUGAGCCUGCUGUAUUUACUCCGCUGUAAGGAAUAUUAAAAUUUUAUCUUUGAUGUUAUAAAGAUAGAGUGAAUUAUAUGAAAUUAUAUGAAAUCCCUAAAUAAGUGCAUUAAAUUUUUUUUUAAUGAAUACGUAUUAGACACAUGCUAUAUGCCAAGUACUCUUCUUGGUGCCGAGAAUACAGCAUUGGAUACCUUUACAUCUUCCGCCUUCAUCGAGUUUGUUUCUUAUUUUAGGAAUAUAAACAUUAGACAAAUUAAUAAGCAAAAUAACCUUUAAGGGAUUAUGUCAUUACUUUAAGGGAUUAUGCCAUUUAUUUCCUAAAAUAACUGCAGUGAUUCCAUUUUUAAGAAUAUAAAUAUUAAAAUUAAGAGGGGCAUAACCAGAGGUUAGGUAGGGAUUAUGUAGGCUACAAAUAUUUAAUGUGUUAUUCAUUCAUUCAUUCAUUCAUACAUUUGUUGUGAUUAUAGUACUGGCGUAUAAAAGUAAUUGGUGCAUAUAAGUGUCUGAAGCCCUCAGCUGUAAAGAUGUUUUAUCUUUUGAGUCUCUCACAAUCUUCUCUCUUGUCAGAAUGUCAGGGAGUGCCAUCUUGUCACCCCCUGUAAAAGCUGUCAUGGAAGCCCCUGCUUAUUGCUGUCUUGAAGAUGGGCUCUGUUACUGUCUUUCCUUUUCUCUUUGUCUUUAUUAUGUUCUCUUUUUAUGUCUUUUGCUUUUCCCACAGUAGAUCCCACUAGCCAAAUGGAGUAAAUUUUUCCUUUCUAAUGUGGCAGAAGUACCAAUCGUAACUAAGCAGGUAUAGUCAGCUGGUCUUCUCUAAUCUACCAGGUCUGUUUGAGUUGAUUGUCUAUCCCAGGUGAAACAUGAUUGGUUUGGGAAAAAACCAAACCAAAACAAAAUAACCAAGUAGUAUCGACAUUAAUUACAGGUGUGAUUUUUCGAAAUGCUGUAUUGGUUGAAGAUUUCCUCCAAAUGUGUUAUCAGGGGUGCAGGGUCAUAACAAACUUCUUGUCCUUUCUCAGGGAAAAUGCCAUUGCCUUCACCCACGUUCUGAGCCAUCAUAAAUGACUUGUCAGAAAAGCAGCUUCUAACUCUCCCAGUUGAGUAUGAAGCUUAGAUGGUUUCAUACCCUUAUUUUUUGAGUGAGAUUAGCUGUCUAGCUUCAGAGUCUAAGCCAGAGUUGGCCUUGACACAUACACAAUGUCUUUGGCCAUAAGUUCAACAAUUACUUUACAUAUCAUUUAUGGCUAACUUGAAAAAAAAUCAUGCAUGUAACAUGUUUAUACAGCUGCCUCAGUACUUGUACAAAUUCUCUGAAACAACAUAUGUCCUCCCUGUCUUUUGCACUGCAGAACAGCACUCCUUGUGUAGAUAAGUGCUUUGAUAUUUUUGAGAGAAGAGUUCUGAACUUGUAGGAUGCUCUUAAAUUUUAGAGGGUUUGGCAGGUUGGUGUUUAAAUAAUCCAGGCUUUAACAUUGCUGAUUUGAAGUGAUCAAAUGGAUGAGGUGAGGGGUUUUUCUGUUUAAUUGAAUACGUUGUCCACUGUAAGGUGCACCAUUAUUUAAUAGACUAUAAAGAAAGAAAAAAUAAAAGCGCUGUAAAUUAACUGUGAUGUGCCACAAAUUGUGAGAUGCAUCUGUAUCUCAGAGAUGUUGAAAUACGUGUCUUACAAUCACAUGAAGUGUGGUAUUUCUCCAUUUGCUUUGAAAGAUUCAGAUAAAAUGAUAAAGUAGAUUCUUGGGAAGACGCAUCAAGCAAUAAACACAUAUUGACUACAGUAACACGAAGAACCAAAAACUUGACAGCCAAAACUUUAUAAUGUGACAAUUAUGUUUCUCAGUGUAUUUACAGAUGUUUUAAAAAUAACUGCUGAUAAAUCUUUAAUUCUUUACAGGAAUUCUGAGAUAGCUCAGGAUUUCUAAUUGAUAUGUUUGCAUUAAAAGAAAAAAAAGUCCAUAUUUUGGAAAAAAGCUCUAUAAUACACUAGUGAUUCAGGUUUGUUGGGUGAGAAGCUUCCUCCUUCUCUUUGAAGGAUUUUUCUGAGUAGAACUUUCCAGUUUUGUUGUAAUGGUAUAGUCUUCUACUAGUAAGACACACCAUCAUUUCACUGGAGCAUGUGGGUUAGAACAACUGGUAAGAAUCUGAAGACCCAUCUCUUCUUAUAUAUGAGUUAAAAGUGUAUAUUUUUUAACAAAUUAUUUUAUAAAAUAUCUUUGAUUUUUGCUUACUUCUAAUUUUAAUACAGACUUGCUGUAAAUUUUUUCCCAUAUAUUAUAAAGAAAAUAAAUGUAAAUCACCUAUUGAGACAAAACUCACAGACAACUUCAGUUAACGUUUUGCACAAUUAAAAAAACAGGCCUUUUAAUAUGCAUAAAUAUAUAUGUACUAUAUAGUGUACUUUGAAUAAUUUAAAUCUUUCUGUGAGUUAUGCUUAGGGUUCUGCCUUUUUCAUCAGUGUUGUAUAUGAGCAUUUCCCAUUACUGUUUUGACUUUUGAAAACCACUGUUAUCAUACAUAUUAAGUCCUGUUUAUAUUAUUUUAUGGAUUGGCAGUGAACAAUGUAACCAUUGCCCAUUUAAUCGCUGCUUCGCAUUUAGGUCGUUUCCAAUUUUUCAUCAUUAAAAAAUUGAGACGUGCAACUUUGUACUUAGAUUUGUUUCUCUACCUCAGAGUAUUUCCUUUUAAUGUUUUUAUUUUUGUUUAGUUUAGUUCUUUUUUUAGUGGUUGCACCAUUGGCAUAUGGAAUUUGCCAGGCCAAAGACUGAGUCUGAGCCUUAGCUGUGACCCAUGCCACAGCUGCGGCAAAACUGGAUCCUUAACCACAGCAGGAAUGUCAGUACAAAUCUUUCUUUAAAAUUUGCAAUGUGAUGAUCCCAAGGAUAUACUGUAUAAAGUACUGGGAGGGGAUCUAACUCCUCAAAGGCCGAAGGCAACUCUCCUCACUAUCAUUUAAUUUAAAAAACUCAAAGCACUUUCAUAGUUCUAUCCUCUGGUACAUGUAUGAAGGAGGAAAGGAUAGAAGUUAAUAUCUUUGUUUUAUAUCUAGAUAUACAGAUGUAGACAUACAGGGAGGAUCUCCGGACAAAGAUUGUAAAACAAAGUUUGAAAUUUAUUAUUUACUCCAAUCACUAUUGUUUGUGUGACUUUUAGCUUCCUCAGUUCAGCUCUGCACUCUGUGCUGCCUCCUGGUUGUCCCAUGUUCCCCAAUGCAGCCUCCCUCUCAGCUUCACAGGAGCAUCCAUGUUCUGAAAUUUUCUCUCCCUCUCAAGCUUCCUUCAUUAAAAGUUGCAUGUGAGGUGUUUGGUCCUACUGAGUAACCUGUUACCUACUUUGGUUAGCUAAUUCCAAUUUGGGUUAAGUACUCAAUGUUAUUCUCUUAGAGUGAAGGCUGUGCCCAGUUUACAUCGUGAGCUAGAUCACAAAUACACACACACACACACACACACACACGCAACUGAAAUAAAGGAUUUAUGAAAUUAUACUCAUUACUUGUGAUACACUCUAUUUUUUAUUCUGUUGUAUUCUAUUUAAAAACUUACUGUUUGGAUCCCACUGAGUGAGGUAUCAACUAUUAACAGGUUGAUGAACUACAGUUUAACAACAAGAGGGUCUUUUUACCCUUAUAACACAGAUAGGUUAUACUCACAGAAGAGAAUGAAGGGAAGUUCAAACAGGGUAUAUUUUUGAAAAAAAAAAAAGAGCCUGCUGGUUCUUAUUAAAUUAUUUAUGUAAUGCAAAUAAAAUGGUCUUAGGUAAUAUAUUAGUGAAUAGCCUGGUAUACCUAAGAGAAAUAGAUUAUGAUCUUUCUUCCAUCAAAACAAUGGAAAAAGAUACUAAAUAAUUAAUAAGCUACACUGUGUCUACUCUACAUUUAUAAAGUAUGCUAAAUAUUAAUUAAUAUUAAUAUCAUUUUUUGGUCUUUUUGUCUUUUUCCAGAGCCACACCCAUGGCAUAUGGAGGUUCCCAGGCUAGGGGUUAAAUUGGAGCUGUAGCCACCAGCCUACACCAGAGCCACAGCAACAUGGAAUCUGAGCUGUGUCUGCGACCUACACCACAGCUCAUGGCAAGGCCAGAUCCUUAACCCACUGAGCGAGGCCAGGGAUCGAACCUGUAACCUCAUGGUUCCUAGUUGGAUUCGUUAACCACUGAGCCAUGAUGGGAACUCCAUUUAUUUGUUAAUUAAAGAACAUAAGUGCCAUUCACUGUUCUAAGAGCUUUAAGAGCAAUUAACUCUACCCUCAUAAUAAUUCCAUGUUGUUAUUUUAUAGUUCUUAUGCAGAUGAGGAAACUGAGGCACAGAGAUUGAGUAAUUUGCACUAGGUUCCGUGGUAAGUAAGAGUGUCAGGCAGUUUAGUUCCCAAAUCCAUGCUCUUAACCAUAGCAAGUAUUUACAUGGCUACUUUGGGUUGGCUGAGUCAGUGUUGUGUCCUUAUCCUGUGUCUCCUGUGUUGUUUGUCCAAGUUUUCUUAUUAAGCUACAGGGAACUCAAUGAUUCCUUGCUAUAUUAGUAAUGUUAAUAGCUGGUUUUGAUAAGUACACUCUACUAAUGAGCUAUUUUAUUCUGUUUUUAAAAACCUAUGACACCCAUAAAGUAAAUGCUUUUAUUAUUUCUUUCAUCAUUUUUCACCCUAUACUAAAGGUGAGAAACCUGAGGCUAUAUAACCAAAUAGUCUAUUUGAGCAAGAUCACACAACUUGUGGAUGGUGGAGAUAAGUGUCAAACACAGGUCUCUGUACUCUGAAACUGAGAGAUUACUUGAUUACUACCAAAUCUCAAUGCUCACUUUAUCCUCUCUCCUUCACUCUGGAAAACCAUACUUACAAUGUAGUUUCUGGUUCUCCGUGUGUUGAGAAACAGAGGGCUGCUUUUCUAUCACCUUUGGUCUCCUGCUCUGCUUUCUGUUCUAUACCUUUGACUCUGCUGCUGCUCUUCUACCACUGAACCCACACCUCUGUGUGGCUAGCAUCUAGACUGGCAGUCACAUCGUCUGCUUUCUACUUAAUACUUAGUCUGUUCUUUUGAAACUGUCUUCUGACAUAAUUGAAGGGGCUAUUUAUCUCUAUUAGGAAACUUCAUUGUUUUGGGUUAGAAGUCUUGGUUUUCCCUCACAGUGCUGCCAGCAAGAACUUCAUCUCAGGAAACAAGAACACAAUUUUCCUCUAAAGGCUCAUAUUUUUCUAUCAUGAAUCAUCCCCCCAAGGCAGAAAAGCAUCUGUUUUUAUUGCACACCAUGUGUGAAUUAUGUGUUUAUGGUUUUUGGAAUGCCUAAAUAGAUCUGGCAUAUUAAUAUUAGAGUCCACAGUGAUGAAAAACACAGUCCAAAUGUCUGCAUGCUUGGUUGCAUGGGUUACAUGGAUCUUAGAGUACUUGAACAUCUUGGAUCAGAGAUACUAGAUAGCUUAUAACUCGGAUAAAAGGAAUUUUGUUUUGUUCUAAUAUUCCUAGAAUGUCGUUAGAGCGAAAAUGUUCAAGGGUAAAAAUAAAUAUAUUAUUUUGAUGAGAUAUAACAAUAACUAUGUCCAAUAAAUAAAACUCAUACAUAUACUCAUAAAUUUGAAAGUAAUACACAGAGUUUCAUUUGUGUGUCCUCAAGGUGUUCAGAAAGAUCAUUUUAACAUAAGGACAUUGCCGGCAGUCAAAAAAAGGCAUUUCUUAAACUUCUUUCAUAACUUAUUAGGAUUUACUGUCACUCCUAACUGCUUUAUUGGGCAAGUAUAGAACAUUGCUCCAGAUUUCAUUUCUUCCAUUUAUGCUACUUGUAAUAAGCCAUUUCUUGGGAUGUGGGAGUGAAAGAGGCUUUAAAAAUUACUUAGUUUGGAAAUGGCUCAUUACAGGAUUCAGUGUUUUACAAAAUGACUCCUAAUUGAGACCUGAUAGGAUAUGUAUGUUUUAGUAGCUGAAAAGCACUCAGCAAUUAGUAGAAAGACUGUUGAACAUCAGAAGCUCAAAUCCUAGACUCUCUUCUACUAUUUAAUAGCUGCUUGUUAUGGGACUUCUAAUCUCUAACGUUCAUUCUAUCUAAAAUGGAGUUCAAGGAGUUCCCAUUGUAGCUCAGCAGGUUAAGGACUUGACAUUGCCUCUGUAAAGAUGUGGGUUUGAUCUCUGACCUGGCCCAGUGGGUUAAGGAUCCAGUGUUGCUGCAAGCUGUGGCAUAGGUCACAGACGUGGCUCAGAUCCGUCAUUGUCUUGGCUGUGGCGUAGGCUGGCAGCUGUAGCGCCCAUUCAACCCCUCCUUGGGAAUUUCCAUAUGCUGCAAGUGUGGC